rnacentral:rRNA from 1 species
AGAGUUUGAUCAUGGCUCAGGGUGAACGCUGGCGGUAGGCCUAACACAUGCAAGUCGAACGGCAGCGCAGAGGAGCUUGCUCCUUGGGUGGCGAGUGGCGGGCGGGUGAGGAAUACAUCGGAAUCUACUCUGUCGUGGGGGAUAACGUAGGGAAACUUACGCUAAUACCGCAUACGACNUACGGGUGAAAGCAGGGGAUCUUCGGACCUUGCGCGUUUGAAUGAGCCGACGUCGGAUUAGCUAGUUGGCGGGGUAAAGGCCCACCAAGGCGACGAUCCGUAGCUGGUCUGAGAGGAUGAUCAGCCACACUGGAACUGAGACACGGUCCAGACUCCUACGGGAGGCAGCAGUGGGGAAUAUUGGACAAUGGGCGCAAGCCUGAUCCAGCCAUACCGCGUGGGUGAAGAGGGCCUUCGGGUUGUAAAGCCCUUUUGUUGGGAAGGAAAUCCAGCUGGCUAAUACCCGGUUGGGAUGACGGUACCCAAAGAAUAAGCACCGGCUAACUUCGUGCCAGCAGCCGCGGUAAUACGAAGGGUGCAAGCGUUACUCGGAAUUACUGGGCGUAAAGCGUGCGUAGGUGGUCGUUUAAGUCCGUUGUGAAAGCCCUGGGCUCAACCUGGGAACUGCAGUGGAUACUGGGCGACUAGAGUGUGGUAGAGGGUAGCGGAAUUCCUGGUGUAGCAGUGAAAUGCGUAGAGAUCAGGAGGAACAUCCAUGGCGAAGGCAGCUACCUGGACCAACACUGACACUGAGGCACGAAAGCGUGGGGAGCAAACAGGGUUAGAUACCCUGGUAGUCCACGCCCUAAACGAUGCGAACUGGAUGUUGGGUGCAAUUUGGCACGCAGUAUCGAAGCUAACGCGUUAAGUUCGUCGCCUGGGGAGUACGGUCGCAAGACUGAAACUCAAAGGAAUUGACGGG